GACGAACGCUGGCGGCGUGCCUAAUACAUGCAAGUUGAGCGCUGAAGGUUGGUACUUGUACCAACUGGAUGAGCAGCGAACGGGUGAGUAACGCGUGGGGAAUCUGCCUUUGAGCGGGGGGCAACAUUUGGAAACGAAUGCUAAUACCGCAUAAAAACUUUAAACACAAGUUUUAAGUUUGAAAGAUGCAAUUGCAUCACCCAAAGAUGAUCCCGCGUUGUAUUAGCUAGUUGGUGAGGUAAAGGCUCACCAAGGCGAUGAUACAUAGCCGACCUGAGAGGGUGAUCGGCCACAUUGGGACUGAGACACGGCCCAAACUCCUACGGGAGGCAGCAGUAGGGAAUCUUCGGCAAUGGACGAAAGUCUGACCGAGCAACGCCGCGUGAGUGAAGAAGGUUUUCGGAUCGUAAAACUCUGUUGGUAGAGAAGAACGUUGGUGAGAGUGGAAAGCUCAUCAAGUGACGGUAACUACCCAGAAAGGGACGGCUAACUACGUG
rnacentral:rRNA from 1 species